rnacentral:rRNA from 1 species
GACGAACGCUGGCGGCGUGCUUAACACAUGCAAGUCGAACGGAAAGACCCUGCUUUUGUGGGGUGCUCGAGUGGCGAACGGGUGAGUAACACGUGAGUAACCUGCCCUUGACUUUGGGAUAACUUCAGGAAACUGGGGCUAAUACCGGAUAGGAGCUCCUGCUGCAUGGUGGGGUUUGGAAAGUUUCGGCGGUUGGGGAUGGACUCGCGGCUUAUCAGCUUGUUGGUGGGGUAGUGGCUUACCAAGGCUUUGACGGGUAGCCGGCCUGAGAGGGUGACCGGCCACAUUGGGACUGAGAUACGGCCCAGACUCCUACGGGAGGCAGCAGUGGGGAAUAUUGCACAAUGGGCGGAAGCCUGAUGCAGCAACGCCGCGUGCGGGAUGACGGCCUUCGGGUUGUAAACCGCUUUCGCCUGUGACGAAGCGUGAGUGACGGUAAUGGGUAAAGAAGCACCGGCUAACUACGUG